rnacentral:rRNA from 2 species
GUAAGUCUGCGAAGGUGUAUCGAGAGGUAUGCUGGAGAUAUCAGAAGUGCGAAUGCUGACGUAAGUAACGAUAAAGGGGGUGAAAAGCCUCCUCGCCGGAAGACCAAGGGUUCCUGUCCAACGUUAAUCGGGGCAGGGUGAGUCGACCCCUAAGGUGAGGCCGAAAGGCGUAAUCGAUGGGAAGCAGGUUAAUAUUCCUGCACGACUUGUAAUUGCGAUGGGGGGACGGAGAAGGCUAGGUGGGCCAGGCGACGGUUGUCCUGGUGAAAGUGCGUAGGUGGUGUUUCUAGGCAAAUCCGGAGACACAACACUGAGACACGAGACGAAGCCACUACGGUGGUGAAGCCAUUGAUGCCCUGCUUCCAGGAAAAGCCUCUAAGCUUCAGAUUACAAGUCAUCGUACCCCAAACCGACACAGGUGGUCGGGUAGAGAAUACCAAGGCGCUUGAGAGAACUCGGGUGAAGGAACUAGGCAAAAUAGAACCGUAACUUCGGGAGAAGGUUCGCUCUUGACAGUGAAGUCCCUUGCGGAUGGAGCAGUUGGGAGUCGCAGUGACCAGAUGGCUGGGACUGUUUAUCAAAAACACAGCACUCUGCAAACACGAAAGUGGACGUAUAGGGUGUGACACCUGCCCGGUGCCGGAAGGUUAAUUGAUGGGGUUAGCGCAAGCGAAGCUCUUGAUCGAAGCCCCGGUAAACGGCGGCCGUAACUAUAACGGUCCUAAGGUAGCGAAAUUCCUUGUCGGGUAAGUUCCGACCUGCACGAAUGGUGUAACCAUGGCCAUGCUGUCUCCACCCGAGACUCAGUGAAAUCGAAUUCGCCGUGAAGAUGCGGUGUACCCGCGGCUAGACGGAAAGACCCCGUGAACCUUUACUACAGCUUGGCACUGAACAUUGAACCUACAUGUGUAGGAUAGGUGGGAGGCUUUGAAGGCGUGACGCCAGUUGCGCUGGAGCCGUCCUUGAAAUACCACCCUUGUAUGUUUGAUGUUCUAACGCAGGGCCCUGAAUCGGGCUCGCGGACAGUGCCUGGUGGGUAGUUUGACUGGGGCGGUCUCCUCCCAAAGAGUAACGGAGGAGCACGAAGGUUGGCUAAUCCUGGUCGGACAUCAGGAGGUUAGUGCAAUGGCAUAAGCCAGCUUAACUGCGAGACGGACAGGUCGAGCAGGUACGAAAGUAGGUCAUAGUGAUCCGGUGGUUCUGAAUGGAAGGGCCAUCGCUCAACGGAUAAAAGGUACUCCGGGGAUAACAGGCUGAUACCGCCCAAGAGUUCAUAUCGACGGCGGUGUUUGGCACCUCGAUGUCGGCUCAUCACAUCCUGGGGCUGAAGUCGGUCCCAAGGGUAUGGCUGUUCGCCAUUUAAAGUGGUACGCGAGCUGGGUUCAGAACGUCGUGAGACAGUUCGGUCCCUAUCUGCCGUGGGCGUUGGAUGAUUGAAGGGAGUUGCUCCUAGUACGAGAGGACCGGAGUGAACGAACCUCUGGUGUUCGGGUUGUCACGCCAGUGGCACUGCCCGGUAGCUAAGUUCGGAAUCGAUAACCGCUGAAAGCAUCUAAGCGGGAAGCGAGCCCUGAGAUGAGUCAUCCCUGACCCCUUGAGGGUCCUAAAGGGCCGUU